rnacentral:lncRNA from 10 species
CAGAUAAUGAGAUGAUGAUCAUACUGUAAAAGCCCAUUCAAAGAAGGUUAAAAUGAAGCAACCAUGAACACCCAAGGAAGACCUACUGCAACAAUCAUCAACACAGAAGAUGACUUCUGUGGCCAAAUGUGUGGGAGUUUUUCACCACUCACCAAGCAGCAGACACCAAGCUGGGUGUCCUCCAAUUCAACUGUGACACUGUCUACCCGGAGAUCUGUCAUAUCGCACAGGUUGAAGACUCAGUUCCCAAGACUCCACACACAACCAGGAGCAAAUCCAGACCUCUGGAACUUCUGACCAACCAGCUUCAAAUUGGGUUUUCCAUGACCCCAAUUUGGGUUUGAUUAAUUUGCUGGAGCAGCUUACAGAAUUCAAGGAAACACAUUUACUGGUUUAUUAUAAAGGAUGUUGCAGAGGAUGAAGAUGAAGAGACAUCUAGGGAGUGGUAUGGGGGGAGAGGUGCAGAGUUUCCAUGCCCUCCCUGGGCUUCAACCUCUAAAACUCUCCACAUGUUUUACUAUCUUGAACCUUGCUGAAACCUGUCCUUUUGGGUUUUUAUGAAGGUUUCAUUAUCUAGCCAUGAUUGAUUAAACCAUUGGCAAGUGGUGAUCAACUUAACCUUCAGCCUCUCUCUCCUUCCUGGAGGCUGGGGGGUGGGGCUGACUCUCUAAUUGUGCCUUUGCCUUUCCAGUGACCAGACCCCCAUUCUGAACCCAUGAGCCAGCAUUAGCAUACAAAAAAGGCAGCAUUUUGGAAAUUCCAAGGAUUUUAGGAGUUAUAUGCCAAGAAACUUGGACAAAGUCCAAAUACGUAUUUCAUGAUAUCACAGAGGGUCAGGAGUGCAUCCCUGAUAAAAUGAUUUCUAAAGGUUGCACAACUAAAUUUGGGUAAUGAAGAAGUGAACUCAGAUUUCCUUAGUUCUAUGAAGAUAAUGCUUUUACUACAAUAUUAUAUUCUAAUUACAGAAUUUCUGUAGAAAUCCAACUUGACAUCUUAAAGCAAGGGCUUGGUUCUAUGUUUCUAUUACUGAGUCAUCCCAUUUCAAAGCAUUUUUAGUUUAACACACAUUUGCUAAGAUUUUUUUAGAACAUUAGAUCAGGGGCCAAGUUCAGUGGCUCAUGCCUGUCAUCCCAGCAUUUUGGGAGGUCUAGGCAGGAGUAUUGCUUGAACCCAAGAAUUUGAGACCAGUCUGGGCAAUACAAGAAGACUCUGCCUAUACAAAAUUAAAAAAAAAAAAGCCAGGUAUGGGGGCAUCUGUAGGAGGCUGAGGUGCAGAGGAUCACUUGAGUGCAGCAGGUUGAGGUUACAGUGAGCCAUCCUCAGACCAGUGCACUCCAGCCUAGGCAACAGAGAGAGAGAGAGAGAGAGAGAGAGAGAGAAGGAGGAGGAGGAGGAGGAGGCAGAGGGAGGAAAAGGAAAAGGAAAAGUUAGAUCAGGAAAAUUCAAAGUUAAAGAUCAUUUGGUUCAGCCACUUUAUUCGCCGAUGAGGAAUCUAAGCCCCAGAAAGGAGAAGAGAUUUGCUCAAAAGUUCUCAGUAACUGGGACCAUCUUGACAUACAGACCAGUGUUCUUCCCCACGUCCCACACAGUUUUAACAGUUAUAGUAUGAGGCCAAAGUGGAACUGGUGUAUUCGUGCCAGAGUGAAUUUGAGUGAAUAAACACAUGAUUAGAAAAUAUAUGAUUAGACAAUCAAGUGUAAAGCUCAGAGGCCAUCUUACUAACAAAAAUAAAAAUAUGAUCACCAAAUUCUUACAGGAGUAUAUAUACUUAUUUUUAGUUAAGCAAAGAAGUUUGUCUAAGAGUUGAGGUUUUCUUCCCUAAAGUGUAACCAUAUUCUCACAAUGGGAGCUUGAACAUAAAAACAACACAAAAUGCCCACUCAUUGCUUUAAGAAUCAACUCUACUCCAUCAGGUCCUGGGUUCAAUAAGUCAGCAGUGGGUUGCACUAACCUCGUUGCCUAUUUAGAAAGGACCCCCAGUGCAACUGUGGCUCUUUGCAUUAUGCAAAUCUAAGUGAAAUCAGAAAUAAAAUACUGUGAUGGGUGGGGGGAAAUAAAGCACAUCUGAAAUAAUUUUCAAAAACGAUUGGCCUCUUCAAAGAAGUCAUAAAUAUCUGACACUCACUGAGAAAUAACUGGCAACUUACAUGAUCCCCCCAAAUCUUGAGCUAAUCAUUCAUAGAGGGGAAAAUAGAUAAUGUAUAGUGUUACUUCCAUUUGAUGAUAAUGAUGAUGAUGAUGAUGAUUAUUUUUGUUAUUCUAAGACUGAGCUUCGCUCUGUCACCCAGGCUGGAGUGCAAUGGUGCAAUCUCAGCUCACUGCAACCUCUGCCUCCAAGGUUCUAGCGACUCUCCUGCCUCAGCCUCCUGAGUAGCUGGGAUUACAGGCGCCCGCCACCACACCUAGCUAAUUUUUGUAUUUUGGGUAAAGACGGGGUUUCACCAUGUUGACCAGGCUGGUCUCAAACUCCUGACCUCAGGUGAUCCGCCCGCCUCAAUCUCCAGAAGUGCUGGGAUUAUAGGCGUGAGACACUGUGUCCGGCCUCAUUUGAUUAUUUUAUAAUUUGGUGCAAAUCUCUUAGAGAACGCAGUUACCAGAUUUGCACUGGCAAAGUGACUCUUUAAUAAAGAAUGUGGAAGGCCAAGCGUGGUGGCUCAUGCCUGUAAUCCCAGCAUUUUGGGAGGCCGAGGUGGGUGGAUCACAAGGUCAGCAGUUCGAGACCAGCCUGGACAACAUGGUGAAACCCCAUCUCUACUAAAAAUAUAAAAAUUAGGUGUGGUGAUGCACACCUGUAAUCUCUGCUACUCAGAAGUCUGAGGCAGGAGAAUUGCUUGAACCCAGGAGGCAGAGGUUGCAGUGAGUCAAGAUCACACCAUUGCACUACAGCCUGGGCAAUAGAGUGAGACUGUCUCAAAAAAAAAAAAAAAAAAAAAAAAGAAUGUGGAAAACAAAGUGUUGGUAAUCUUUCUGAUGACACACACACACACACACACACACACACACACACCCUACUGGCCAUUUCUGAUCAUAUAUGUAUAAAUAUAUAAAGUAGAACUUAAUAUAUGUUCUUCUGUAUACAUACUGUACAUAUAUUCAAUAGUUUGUUCAUUCCCAGGAAGCACCAGCCCAUGGGCAAGAAUGAUGAGCCUAAUAUUGUACUGAUCUUCAACCAAAUUUCCUUGUAUACUGACAUGACAGUUUUGGCCAUCCACAUGAACUAAAUAUUUCAACAAUGACAUGGAAAAGAAGUUCCUGAAAACUAACAAAUGAACUAAACUCCUUCUUUUUAUAAAAUAUCCUUGUCAAAAUGGAUAAGUAAGCUUUGCCUAAAUUUUGUUUUGCUUUGGGAGGGAGGGGAGGAAGUUUGGAAUAUCGAGGGGUGAGCUGCUUAAAGCCAAAUAUCAUGUUCAAAUAAAACAACUCCAGGGGAUUUUGGAAAACAAGU